rnacentral:lncRNA from 1 species
UCUAAAAAAACCAUUUUAAAAAUACUAAUUUAAUUGAAAUAAUACAAUAUUUAAAUAAAUGAACUAAAUUUAAAAAUUUAUGAAAUUACCAAAAGCCCCCUUUUCCUCUUUUCUCUUUUUCUUCUUCUGGGCCUAAUAGAUGUUGGGCUGCCAAAUUUGGGCUGUCAAAAGGACUGGGCUGAAGCUGCUGGGCUGCUGAGCACUGGGCCUGACGCUGGACUGGGCUGGCCUGCUUCUUGUUGGGCUGCGCUGGGCUUGGUUUGGGCCUGCUUUGUUCUUUUUUGCUAUUCUGUUUUUUUUUUGCUGUUUUGUUUUUUUUUUGGGCGUUUUGUUUUUUUUUGGGGCUGCUGGGUGUUGGAUCGGGUCGGGUCGGUGCGGGUCAACCCGACUGGGUUUAAAAAAAUAUUUUUUUUUUCUUCUUUUUUUUUUUCCCUUCCUUUCUUCUCUCUUUUUCUUCUUUUUUCUUCCUUUUUCCUUCCUCUUCGGGGCUGAACUCUAGCCCAACGCCGCCGCCGACGCCUCCUCCGUCCGGUGUUGCGGUGGCCGACACGACUCCCUUCUCCUCUCUUUCUCCCUUUCUUUCUUCUCUUCUUCCUUUUUGGUUGCUAUUUUUGCUUGCUGUUUUUGUUUCUUCUUUUUGUUUUUUCUUUGUGCUUUGCUUUGUAGGUGCAACGGUGGUUAGAAGAAUGCAAGGCACGGCGGUGGGCACGGUGGUGGUGAAGGCGGUGGUUUGGAGAGCGCGACGGUGGUGAGGGCCCUUUCGUUGCUCUUUUUUGUUUGAUUUUUUGCUGCUGUUUUCUUAGUUUUCUUUCUUUCUUUUUGCAAAAAAAAGAACCCCCCAUUCACUCUCCAUUUCUUCCCCUUUUAAUCUCUCCAAUUUGUCUUCUUUCUAAUUGUUUUCAGGUGGUAGAGGAGCCAUCAUGGCCUAGGGAGGCUGCUGGAGUAGCCCGGCUGGGGAGGGGUAGGCUCGGCAGUUGCUUGCGGCGAUUUGACAAGUCCAGAAGGACUAAAUUGCAUGGGAUGCAAAGUUUCUGGGGCAAAAGCGUAAUUUUAGCAAAAUACGGGCCAAGAUGUAAUUUCUUGAGAGUUUAGGGGUCAAAGUGAAAUUUUGAGAAAGUAUAAGGGUCGAAAUGUAAUUUUAUAAAGUUUUGGGGUAAAAAUGUAAAUUUUAGAAAAUUUUGGGGUCAAAAUGUAAAUUUUGAAAAGUACAGGGGUUAAAAUGCAAAAAAUAAAAAAAAUUCUUUUUUUUUCAAACACGAAAUUAAUCCCGGACAAAAUUCAGUGAUUACAUUCAUCAUUUUUAAACUUAUUUAUCUUCAAACUAUAAAUAACAGUAUAUCAGUUUCAUACUAGCAUUUCUUUCUUUUAUAACUAAUCAUUGAUUUUCAAAGUGUAAUUACAAUUAUAAAUCAUAUAUAUUACUAUGAACAACAAGUAAUUAUAUCUUAAUAUUUUUUAUGUAUUUCAAAGAUAGCGAAAUUGUAUUGUUUAUGGAACCAUAUUAAAUAAUACUAGUAUUAAAUAAUACUAUUUGCAUUGGCUAAAGGAACUAUUAGCACAUAAACAAAGUCCAUUUGCUUAAAACCAUUUGGGGAUUUGCAUAAUACAUGUCAAGACGGUGACUAAAUGCAACGGCUAUAGCAGUACCUCGAAUAGCAAGAUGAUUAACUACCAAACCUUUUGUUUGCAACAGAAAAUUUACCUUCAAAAAAUUCUGUUCUUUCAAUCAAACUAAGGCUGAUACAUUACAACAGAAGAAUAAAUAUUUACCUUCCACGCAAAGAAGUAGACAAGUUCUGCAGCGAAAUACGCAGCAAGCUAGCGGCAAAAAAUUGACCUUUCACGCCAAAGAAUAGCGUUAUCCUUCCAACCCAGCAAGCUAAGCACAACAACGCAAACAGCAAUUAUGAACGGUUACAAACUACUGUAAACUACAAACAGGAUAUAAACAAAUUAUGAACAAAAAUUUGCAACGAGAAAUGUUAUUAGAUUUAUAUUAUUUUAUAAGUUAUAGAGUAAGAAUUAUUUGAUAAGCUAUAGAGUGAGAAUUAUUAUGCAAUGAGAAAUGUUAUUAGAAAUGCAUUACUUGACAGCCUAUGGGACCAAAUACAACAAUUAUUUGAUAAGGUAUAUUCCAACGAAGUGUUCAAGAGAGCACUGCACAAGGUUUUUGUCAAGAGUUGGUUCAAAUGUGCCAAAUUUCUGGCAUGGUGAAUUUUCCUAACCUUUGUUUUCACUAACCAACUAAUUUAUCUAUAUAACAGCUUCCAAUGGAUGCCGUUUGGUGCCUGAACCUUUGAUCAAUUUGGUCUUUUAAAUGCAGGAAUUCGAUCGAGACCCCGUAAUUCCUAUCUAUUCAGCUAGACCAGAUCAAGUUAACAAGGCACUAAAAUACGUAUACCAUGCUGCUGCAAACAAGCUUGAAGGAAAAUAACUUGAAUUACUCAUUGCCCUUCUUCCAGACAACAAUGGAUCCUUAUAUGGUAUGUCCCUUCUUGCAACUAUAUUAAUUGUAUGAACAAAAUUUUUCAUGAUUAGCAGGAUAACAAUGUACAACAAGACGGAAUAUACUGCUUAGUUUGCUUUGAUUUUUGUUUAAAAAUAAUAAUUUUUUUUCAUGCGUAUGACAUGAGAUAUGGUACUUUUGGUUUCAGUAAGAGCAAUUAUGGGACCAAAUAUUAUCAUUUCCUAUAAUACAAACAGGAGAGUGAAAAUGAUGAAAAAAGUUAUGAACAGUUCCAAACUAUUUGGAACUACAAGCAGGAAAUAAACAAAUCAUGAACUAAAUUAUGCAAAGGCUAUAGAUAAAAUUCUAAGAACAAAUUCCCGGUCUUUUCUGUCCCAAACAGGAUACUGUAAAAUUGUCUGAAACCCAUCAACAAUUUGCGCAUUUAGUUAACAUUAUUAGGUGUAAAAUAAUGUAUGUGAGGUUGUAACCUAAACCCUAUACCAGGUGCAAAACUAUUUGCGCGCAGAAGAGAAAGAGGAAAACCUUACCGAUCGUUUUACCCAAGUGACGGUAGAGGAGUGCAGUGGUACACGACUGUCACAGUCGACGGUCGACGAGCAACAACAGAAGGGUCAGUAAACGGUAAUGUAGCAGUGAUGGUUGAGGCACAGCAGACUAGGGUUCUAGAUUUGGGCGAUUUUUGGGGAAAAUUUGGGGGGAAUUUUUGGGGAGAAAAGUGAUUUGUCGGCUAAGGGAUGGGACUAUUUGGGAUGAAAUACAGACACUAUAAAAG